ensembl:snoRNA T23G11.12 ncRNA
GAUCAUGAUUGCUGUCACAUCCGUUUGGACAAAAUUCCGACGAGGUCUGCCUAUUUACUCUUGGCCCCUCCUCGCCGCCACAAUGAUUUUCGUUGAUUGGAAUCACACUCGAGAAUGGAAAGCAGCUGGAAGAGUUU